UACAGAGACUGCAAGCGUUAUUCGGAUUCACUGGGCGUAAAGGGUGCGCAGGCGGCCGUGUGUGUCAGUUGUGAAAGCCCGGAGCUUAACUCCGGAAUUGCGCCUGAAACUACAUGGCUAGAGCAUUGGAGAGGGUAGCGGAAUUCACGGUGUAGCAGUGAAAUGCGUAGAUAUCGUGAGGAACACCAGAGGCGAAGGCGGCUACCUGGAACGGUACUGACGCUGAGACGCGAAAGCGUGGGGAGCAAACAGG
rnacentral:rRNA from 1 species